GGGGUUGUAGCUUAGUGGUAGAGCGCUUGCCUUGCACACAUGAGGCACCAGGUUCAAUCCUCAGCACCA
rnacentral:tRNA from 1 species